GAUGAACGCUGACAGAAUGCUUAACACAUGCAAGUCGAUUCAAUUUACCUUCGGGUAAUGAGGAUGGCGGACGGGUGAGUAACGCGUAAGGAACUUGCCUCUUGGUCCGGGACAACUGUUGGAAACGACAGCUAAUACCGGAUAUUAUGAGAUUCUCGCAUGGGAAACUUAUGAAAGCUAUAUGCGCCAAGAGAGAGCCUUGCGUUCCAUUAGCUAGUUGGUGGGGUAACGGCCCACCAAGGCGACGAUGGAUAGCCGGCCUGAGAGGGUGAACGGCCACAAGGGGACUGAGACACGGCCCUUACUCCUACGGGAGGCAGCAGUGGGGAAUAUUGGACAAUGGGCCACAAGCCUGAUCCAGCAAUUCUGUGUGCACGAUGAAGGUCUUCGGAUUGUAAAGUGCUUUCAGUUGGGAAGAAGAAAGUGACGGUACCAACAGAAGAAGCGACGGCUAAAUACGUGCCAGCAGCCGCCGUAA
rnacentral:rRNA from 1 species